UAGGCUGCAACCCGCCUGCAUGAAGUUGGAAUUGCUAGUAAUCGCGGAUCAGCAUGCCGCGGUGAAUACGUUCCCGGGGAUUGUACACACCGCCCGUCACACCAUGAGAGUCGGGAACACCCAAAGUCCGUAGUCUAACCGCAAGGAGGACGCGGCCUAAGGUGGGUUCGAUAAUUGGGGUGAAGUCGUAACAAGGUAGC
rnacentral:rRNA from 1 species